rnacentral:rRNA from 1 species
GAUGAACGCUGGCGGCGUGCCUAAUACAUGCAAGUCGAGCGCAGCGGGGACGGGUGAGUAACACGUUGAUAACCUCCUAUAAGCCUGGGAUAACUUCGGGAAACCGGAGCUAGACCCGAUACUUAUAGCUGGUUCUGCGUUGCAUUAGCUAUUUGGUAAGGUAACGGCUUACCAAGUCAACGAUGAAUAGCCGACCGGAGAGGGGGACGGGCACACUGGGAACUGGGAAACGGUCAAGACCCCUACGGGAGGAACCAGUAGGGAAUCUUCCGCAAGGGGCGAAAGCCGGACGGAGCAACGCGGGGGGAGGGAUGAAGGUCUUCGGACCGUAAAAUUCUUUUAUUAGGGAAGCGGUACCUAAUCAGAAAGCCACGGCUAACUACGUGCCAGCCGCCGCGGUAAUUC